AUUGAACGCUGGCGGCAUGCUUUACACAUGCAAGUCGAACGGUAACAGGCCGCAAGGUGCUGACGAGUGGCGAACGGGUGAGUAAUGCAUCGGAACGUGCCCAGUCGUGGGGGAUAACGCAGCGAAAGCUGCGCUAAUACCGCAUACGAUCUAUGGAUGAAAGCGGGGGACCGUAAGGCCUCGCGCGACUGGAGCGGCCGAUGUCAGAUUAGGUAGUUGGUGGGGUAAAGGCUCACCAAGCCAACGAUCUGCAGCUGGUCUGAGAGGACGACCAGCCACACUGGGACUGAGACACGGCCCAGACUCCUACGGGAGGCAGCAGUGGGGAAUUUUGGACAAUGGGCGCAAGCCUGAUCCAGCAAUGCCGCGUGCAGGAAGAAGGCCUUCGGGUUGUAAACUGCUUUUGUACGGAACGAAACGGCUCUCUCUAAUACAGGGGGUUAAUGACGGUACCGUAAGAAUAAGCACCGGCUAACUACGUGCCAGCAGCCGCAGUAAUAC
rnacentral:rRNA from 1 species